rnacentral:rRNA from 1 species
AACGCGAAGAACCUUACCAGGUCUUGACAUCCGAUGCAUAGUGCAGAGAUGCAUGAAGUCCUUCGGGACAUCGAGACAGGUGGUGCAUGGUUGUCGUCAGCUCGUGUCGUGAGAUGUUGGGUUAAGUCCCGCAACGAGCGCAACCCUUAUUGCCAGUUACUACGCAAGAGGACUCUGGCGAGACUGCCGUUGACAAAACGGAGGAAGGUGGGGAUGACGUCAAAUCAUCAUGCCCUUUAUGACCUGGGCUACACACGUACUACAAUGGCGUUUAACAAAGAGAAGCAAUACCGCGAGGUGGAGCAAAACUCAAAAACAACGUCUCAGUUCAGAUUGCAGGCUGCAACUCGCCCGCAUGAAGUCGGAAUUGCUAGUAAUCGCGGAUCAGCAUGCCGCGGUGAAUACGUUCCCGGGUCUUGUACACACCG